rnacentral:rRNA from 1 species
ACGCGAAGAACCUUACCCAGGCUUGAACAGCCAGUGACCACUCCUGAAAAGGAGCUUCCGCAAGGACACUGGUAGAGGUGCUGCAUGGCUGUCGUCAGCUCGUGUCGUGAGAUGUUGGGUUAAGUCCCGCAACGAGCGCAACCCUUGUCUGCUGUUGCCAUCACGUUAUGGUGGGCACUCUGCAGAGACUGCCGGUGAUAAACCGGAGGAAGGUGGGGAUGACGUCAAGUCAGCAUGGCCUUUAUGUCUGGGGCUACACACGUGCUACAAUGGCAGAUACAAACCGUCGCGAGACCGCAAGGUGGAGCUAAUCGGAGAAAGUCUGUCUCAGUUCGGAUUGUCGGCUGCAACUCGCCGGCAUGAAGUUGGAAUCGCUAGUAAUCGCGGAUCAGCACGCCGCGGUGAAUACGUUCCCGGGCCUUGUA